AAAACAUUUACACGUUCUCCUUAUUUUCAGCAGUAAUUUCUUUCUGGAAUAAAGGAAACUAUCUCUCCAUUUAAACAGGUAGAGAUUCUCCCAGGUUUAAAAAGGCGUUAAUAUUAGCCAUCUAACACAUUGUUGCUACUUUGAGCUUUCAAGAUCUUUGUUCACCAAAACUGGAGCAUCUCUUUCCAUCUUUGCAAAUAACUGGAAAUGACUUUUCCAGGUCACACUUGCAAUAUUUCUCUGUCCUGAGUGGAAGGUGUGACCAUCUGAGAGCUAAAAUGCUGGAGAAUGGGGAGUGCCUUCCCAGAAUACUGGAGAUCCUGUUCCAUUAUACUCAUAUAAGCUAGGUUGCAGAAGCAUUUCUCACCACUGAUGCUGCUGGGCGAAAGAAAUGAACGUGAUUGAUUAUGACUUUGAUACACCUGAGGAACAGAGAAAAUUCAGUAAACAUCUCUGUGUUUCUGUCUGUCAACAGGAUAGAGGAAUGAAGGGAGUCCAUAUGUCAGCAUGCAUGACUUUUUCUGUUUGGAUGGAUGGGACGGACUUCUGAUCUGACACACCUGUUCCAGUAUCCUGGGCCCAUAAUCAAGUCUUUUUUCUGCGUAAUCAAGAGAGCGGUUAAACAGCUGAGAGUCAUAAAAGAACAGGAAGAAUUUUAAGAUGCAGAGAAAUUAAAUUUGCUCCAGUUUUCAAAGGAUUAAUCCAGCCCUCAUCUCUCCUUUGACAUCUCUUGGCUACAUCCAAAUAGUCGUCUGCCUGUUCUUCCUCCACAAAAUAUGAAGGGAUGUUACUUGGGCUACCUCAUUCCCUGCCGGUUGCUAAUGGAAAAUAGUACUGCUGUGCAGGGAGACUUGUUUUAUAGGUGUUUUUCUUCUAUCUGGUUUUACAGUUCUCUACCGCCACUGUUCAGCAUUCCCUGGAUUGCUCUGCCGUUCUCUGGCCAUCCAUAUAUGUUUUGCAAACUGAGUGACACAAAGGCCUCUAAAAAAGGAAACACCUCUCACAAAACACUUUGCACUGUUCAUUGCUAUUUCUCUUAAGACAGGAGAACGGUUGCCUCCUAUCACCCUUAAGUUCCAUUUAAAAGCUGGUCAAUCCUACUGGAUACACCAGCCUUCCACUGCUCAGUCCUGGUGCCCGCAUAAGGACAGCUUUACAAAAUGAGUACUCCCUUUUCCCCUGCUAGGGCUUGACACACACUUGUAAGAUUAACAGCUAUGGAAUCUAGUGUUGUUUUAUUUUGUCAUCAGUUUUCAGUGAUAUCAUAGUCUUUUCAUUCCAGCACCUUUCACUUCCCAGUCCUUAAACUAAUAUACUGAUCCCUAUUACUAAAUAAACCAGACUAUAUCACCACUUUUUAAGCUGAGAUGUAGUUUUUCCUCUGUCCUUCUCCUUGUACAUACACUAGACUGUGCAUAAACAGCAAAGCACAAGAACUUUACAGCAAGCAGUUCCAAGUCUAACUAGGGCCUAGAGUACUGCCUACCUGAUAGUUGUGUAUAAUUUAAAGAACACUAACUGCAGAAUUUCCAAGUACUUGAUUUAAAGAAUCUUAUAUUUUUAUUAAAGUAGUUUUGCAGACUGACCAAAUAUGUUGUACUAUGGUUGAUUUUAUUGUGUAGCUACAUGGCUCCAUGCCCAUUGACUUCAAGCAAGUACAGCACUACUGCUGGAUCACAACAGUGCUAGACUGAAAGAACCAUAAUAUGAAAUUUGCAACUACAGUUUAAUCUACUUUAAAAAUAUGAAAUCUAGUAUGGUUAAUAUACCUAUCUUAAACUAAAAACUUUACCUGGAGAAAAUAAGUAGGUAUUUUUCAGUGCUCUGAUACUGAACUUAUUUUGAAUCAAUAACUCUGAUUAUUUUGCACAAAAAACAACCAACCAAAAAAAAAAAAC
ensembl:lncRNA